rnacentral:SRP_RNA from 1 species
AAAGGCCGUAUGCGUCGGAUCACCGACUUCCGGUGAUGAAAUUCGGUCUCACGCAAUGGGAAUCCGCGAACCGUGUCAGGUUGGGAACAAAGCAGCACUAAGCGGAAGCUCUCAUGUGCCGUGAGGGUGCCGGGUGGAGUCGGAAGUCAGGCCCGAUGCAUGCGGUUUUU